rnacentral:rRNA from 1 species
UGUCAGGAGUUAUGAAAUGUAGGAAUGUUAAUAGCAUUUCUAUUUGACUAAGGCUCCAGAGGAAGCUCCGGCUAACUUCGUGCCAGCAGCCGCGGUAAGACGAAGGGAGCGAGCGUUGUUCGGAAUCACUGGGCAUAAAGCGUCCGUAGGCGGUUUGGGAAGUGGGGUGUGAAAUCCCCCGGCUUAACCGGGGAAUUGCAUCCCAAACUCCUUGACUUGAGGCGCAGAGGGGAGAGUGGAACUUCUGGUA